UAAGGAAUAUUGCGCAAUGGGGGAAACCCUGACGCAGCAACGCCGCGUGGAGGAUGACACUUUUCGGAGCGUAAACUCCUUUUAUCAGGAAAGAAUAAUGACGGUACCUGAUGAAUAAGCACCGGCUAACUCCGUGCCAGCAGCCGCGGUAAUACGGGGGGUGCAAGCGUUACUCGGAUUCACUGGGCGUAAAGGACGCGUAGGCGGAUUAUCAAGUCUUUUGUGAAAUCUAGUGGCUUAACCACUAAACUGCUUAGGAAACUGAUAGUCUAGAGUAGGGGAGAGGUAGAUGGAAUUCUUGGUGUAGGGGUAAAAUCCGUAGAGAUCAAGAAGAAUACCCAUUGCGAAAGCGAUCUGCUGGAACCUAACUGACGCUGAGGCGUGAAAGCGUGGGUAGCAAACAGG
rnacentral:rRNA from 1 species